GAUGAACGCUGGCGGCGUGCCUAAUACAUGCAAGUCGAGCGAACGGACGAGAAGCUUGCUUCUCUGAUGUUAGCGGCGGACGGGUGAGUAACACGUGGAUAACCUACCUAUAAGACUGGGAUAACUUCGGGAAACCGGAGCUAAUACCGGAUAAUAUUUUGAACCGCAUGGUUCAAAAGUGAAAGACGGUCUUGCUGUCACUUAUAGAUGGAUCCGCGCUGCAUUAGCUAGUUGGUAAGGUAACGGCUUACCAAGGCAACGAUGCAUAGCCGACCUGAGAGGGUGAUCGGCGACACUGGAACUGAGACACGGGCCAGACUCCUACGGGAGGCAGCAGUAGGGAAUCUUCCGCAAUGGGCGAAAGCCUGACGGAGCAACGCCGCGUGAGUGAUGAAGGUCUUCGGAUCGUAAAACUCUGUUAUUAGGGAAGAACAUAUGUGUAAGUAACUGUGCACAUCUUGGCGGUACCUAAUCAGAAAGCCACGGCUAACUACGUG
rnacentral:rRNA from 1 species